rnacentral:rRNA from 1 species
UAGGGAAUAUUAGAAAUGGACGAAAGUCUGAUCUAGCAACACCGCGUGUGCGAAGAAGGCCUUCGGGUUGUAAAGCACUUUUUGGAAGGAUUAGGAAGGAAUGUACUUCCAGAAUAAGUCUCGGCUAACUACGUGCCAGCAGCCGCGGUAACACGUAGGAGGCAAACGUUAUCCGGAUUUACUGGGCGUAAAGCGCGUGUAGGUGGUUCUGUAAGUAGGGCGUGAAAGCUCCUGGCUCAACUGGGAGAGGCCGUUCUAAACUGCAGAGCUAGAGGAUGGUAGAGGGAGGUGGAAUUCCGGGUGUGGCGGUGGAAUGCGCAGAUAUCCGUAGGAACACCAGUGGCGAGAGCGGCCUCCUGGACCAUUCCUGACACUCAGACGCGAAAGCUAGGGUAGCAAACGG